rnacentral:rRNA from 1 species
UACAGAGGGGCAAGCGUUAUUCGGAAUUAUUGGGCGUAAAGGGCGCGUAGGCGGCUUGGCAAGUGGAUGGUGAAAUCCCUCGGCUUAACCGAGGAACUGCCGUCCAAACUGCUUCGCUUGAGACCGGGAGAGGUGAGUGGAAUUCCCAGUGUAGCGGUGAAAUGCGUAGAUAUUGGGAGGAACACCAGUGGCGAAGGCGGCUCACUGGACCGGUACUGACGCUGAUGCGCGAAAGCGUGGGGAGCAACGGG